GUUUGAUCAUGGCUCAGAUUGAACGCUGGCGGCAGGCCUAACACAUGCAAGUCGAGCGGAUGAAGGGAGCUUGCUCCUGGAUUCAGCGGCGGACGGGUGAGUAAUGCCUAGGAAUCUGCCUGGUAGUGGGGGAUAACGUCCGGAAACGGGCGCUAAUACCGCAUACGUCCUGAGGGAGAAAGUGGGGGAUCUUCGGACCUCACGCUAUCAGAUGAGCCUAGGUCGGAUUAGCUAGUUGGUGGGGUAAAGGCCUACCAAGGCGACGAUCCGUAACUGGUCUGAGAGGAUGAUCAGUCACACUGGAACUGAGACACGGUCCAGACUCCUACGGGAGGCAGCAGUGGGGAAUAUUGGACAAUGGGCGAAAGCCUGAUCCAGCCAUGCCGCGUGUGUGAAGAAGGUCUUCGGAUUGUAAAGCACUUUAAGUUGGGAGGAAGGGCAGUAAGUUAAUACCUUGCUGUUUUGACGUUACCAACAGAAUAAGCACCGGCUAACUUCGUGCCAGCAGCCGCGGUAAUACGAAGGGUGCAAGCGUUAAUCGGAAUUACUGGGCGUAAAGCGCGCGUAGGUGGUUCAGCAAGUUGGAUGUGAAAUCCCCGGGCUCAACCUGGGAACUGCAUCCAAAACUACUGAGCUAGAGUACGGUAGAGGGUGGUGGAAUUUCCUGUGUAGCGGUGAAAUGCGUAGAUAUAGGAAGAAACACCAGUGGCGAAGGCGACCACCUGGACUGAUACUGACACUGAGGUGCGAAAGCGUGGGGAGCAAACAGGGUUAGAUACCCUGGUAGUCCACGCCGUAAACGAUGUCGACUAGCCGUUGGGAUCCUUGAGAUCUUAGUGGCGCAGCUAACGCGAUAAGUCGACCGCCUGGGGAGUACGGCCGCAAGGUUAAAACUCAAAUGAAUUGACGGGGGCCCGCACAAGCGGUGGAGCAUGUGGUUUAAUUCGAAGCAACGCGAAGAACCUUACCUGGCCUUGACAUGCUGAGAACUUUCCAGAGAUGGAUUGGUGCCUUCGGGAACUCAGACACAGGUGCUGCUGUCGUCAGCUCGUGUCGUGAGAUGUUGGGUUAAGUCCCGUAACGAGCGCAACCCUUGUCCUUAGUUACCAGCACCUCGGGUGGGCACUCUAAGGAGACUGCCGGUGACAAACCGGAGGAAGGUGGGGAUGACGUCAAGUCAUCAUGGCCCUUACGGCCAGGGCUACACACGUGCUACAAUGGUCGGUACAAAGGGUUGCCAAGCCGCGAGGUGGAGCUAAUCCCAUAAAACCGAUCGUAGUCCGGAUCGCAGUCUGCAACUCGACUGCGUGAAGUCGGAAUCGCUAGUAAUCGUGAAUCAGAAUGUCACGGUGAAUACGUUCCCGGGCCUUGUACACACCGCCCGUCACACCAUGGGAGUGGGUUGCUCCAGAAGUAGCUAGUCUAACCGCAAGGGGGACGGUUACCACGGAGUGAUUCAUGACUGGGGUGAAGUCGAAACAAGGUA
rnacentral:rRNA from 1 species